AUUUUAAGAACAAAAACUACUUUCAGAAUAUUUUCUCCUCUUUUGUAUUGAAGGUGAAUUAAUCAUCGUACAAAAUGGAUAAUUUCAUCAACGUUAUGAUGAUAUGUACUAAUUCCCAGCACACUUUUCGUAUCGAGGUUGAGCUUUCGAACAAAACAAGCUGCAAUAUCCACUAUUCAGACAAACACAAAAUAAAUGUUUUCCAGGGAGUAUAUAUUCAUAAUAAUUAAAAAAAAUUUCUUCUGCAAUCAUAUAAUUGUGAUCCUUUUUCGAAGUUAAACAAAAAAGUUCCUUGCAAUCCCUUCAAUUACAGACUCAGACUGUUUCGCCAUAGAAAGUUCCCCCUCAUGAAAAAAGGCAAUUUGGAAGUUAUCCCAGCUUUCGGACAAAAUCAUGACUCCAUUAUCUAAAUCCUCUUUUGUUAUAUUAAUCUU
rnacentral:lncRNA from 1 species